rnacentral:rRNA from 1 species
GGUCUUGACAUCCCGUUGACCACUGUAGAGAUAUGGUUUCCCCUUCGGGGGCAACGGUGACAGGUGGUGCAUGGUUGUCGUCAGCUCGUGUCGKGAGAUGUUGGGUUAAGUCCCGCAACGAGCGCAACCCUUGAUCUUAGUUGCCAUCAUUUAGUUGGGCACUCUAAGGUGACUGCCGGUGACAAACCGGAGGAAGGKGGGGAUGACGUCAAAUCAUCAUGCCCCUUAUGACCUGGGCUACACACGUGCUACAAUGGACRAUACAAACGGUUGCCAACUCGSGAGAGGGAGCUAAUCCGAUAAAGUCGUUCUCAGUUCGGAUUGUAGGCUGCAACUCGCCUACAUGAAGCCGGAAUCGCUAGUAAUCGCGGAUCAGCAUGCCGCGGUGAA